GUGCCAGCAGCCGCGGUAAUACGUAGGUGGCAAGCGUUGUCCGGAAUUAUUGGGCGUAAAGCGCUCGCAGGCGGUCUUUUAAGUCUGAUGUGAAAGCCCACGGCUUAACCGUGGAGGGUCAUUGGAAACUGGAGGACUUGAGUACAGAAGAGGAGAGUGGAAUUCCACGUGUAGCGGUGAAAUGCGUAGAGAUGUGGAGGAACACCAGUGGCGAAGGCGACUCUCUGGUCUGUAACUGACGCUGAGGAGCGAAAGCGUGGGGAGCGAACAGGAUUAGAUACCCUGGUAGUCC
rnacentral:rRNA from 1 species